rnacentral:rRNA from 1 species
GAUGCUAGCCGUUGGCCGGUUUACCGGUCAGUGGCGCAGCUAACGCAUUAAGCAUCCCGCCUGGGGAGUACGGUCGCAAGAUUAAAACUCAAAGGAAUUGACGGGGGCCCGCACAAGCGGUGGAGCAUGUGGUUCAAUUCGAAGCAACGCGCAGAACCUUACCAGCCCUUGACAUGUCCCGUAUGGGUUUCAGAGAUGAGACCCUUCAGUUCGGCUGGCGGGAACACAGGUGCUGCAUGGCUGUCGUCAG